rnacentral:rRNA from 1 species
AGAACGAACGCUGGCGGCAGGCCUAACACAUGCAAGUCGAACGAGAUCUUCGGAUCUAGGUGGCGGACGGGUGAGUAACGCGUGGGAACGUGCCCUUCUCUACGGAAUAGUCCUGGGAAACUGGGUUUAAUACCGGUAUACGCCCUUCGGGGGAAAGAAUUUCGGGGAAGAUCGGCCCGCGUUGGAUUAGGUAGUUGGUAGGGGUAACUGGCCUACCAAGCCGACGAUCCAUAGCUGGUUUGAGAGGAUGAUCAGCCACACUGGACUGAGACACGGCCCAGACUCCUACGGAAGCAGCAGUGGGGAAU